UACGACUAUAUCACAUUGAAACACUGGUUUUCAUAUGAUCACUGAAGUUAAACAACACCGAGCCUGAUCAGUAACUAGAUGGGUGAUCGCUUGGCAAUACCCGGUUCUGUA